rnacentral:lncRNA from 10 species
AUGGGAUGACAGCUGUUGAAACCAGAUUGACUGCACACCUUAUACCAAUUAUCUAUGAGAACAAGAACACACAACUCUUUGCUGCCCCAUUCCGUGUAUGCUUUGCCCAGUGGCCAAGGCCUUUACCUCACAUACAGCUUGAUUAAGAAUCCUCUGACCUCUCAGUCUAGCGGUAGCUGGAUAAAUGUGGUUCAUGGCUCUUGCUGCAGAAAAUGACUGCAACUUUAUUUUCCCUGUGUUAAAAUCUGGGCAAACUGGGAGGUGAGUAGAAGUUUUCACCUAGGAGUCGUCUUGUUAUCCACUGAAACCUGAAGUUUCCAGUACAGUUCAUGUACCUUAAAAUUUGCUGAUUUAAAGUGCACAUUUAUUUUCAAUAUAUAUGCAGUAAUAUGGUUUGAAUUGUGUGCCCUAAAAUUCAUAGGAUAAAGUGUUCACCUCCAGUAUUGCAGAAUGUUACCUCAUUUGGAGACAGGAUCUUUAUGGAAGUAUCUUCAAACAAGGUUAUUAGGAUGGGCCCUAAUUUAAUAAGAUCCGUGUCCUUUAAAAGGGGGAAAGUUGAAGACAUAUUGUAGGAAGGACGCUGUGUGCAGAUGAAGGCAGAGAUUGGGGAAUGCUUCUGCAAGCCAAGGAGAGCAAAGAUUGGCAGCAAAGCAACAGAAGCCAGGGUAUUGGUUCCAGGAUCAACAGCAGACAUCAGAAGCAGCCCAUACUCAAGUCUCACAGUCAGCCCUGUGGAACCUAGCCGAGUAUGAAAAGCAGCCUUUUGUACACCUGUUUCUCCCAUCCCGAGAUCUGCAUUUGGUUGUGAAUGUGGAACCUGUGAAUACUUAGCACCAACUGUAUUUAUUGAAAACAUCAGCAUAUAGGUGGACCCGCCAAGUUUAAACCUAUGUUGUUCAAGGGUCAAUUGUAAAUGGAAUCAUACAGUGCAUUGGUUUUGUGACUGGCAUCUCUCACUUGGCAGGGCUUUUUCGUGGCUCAUCCACGUUAUAAAAUGUGUCAGAACUUCCUUCCUUUUUAGGGAUGAGAAUUACACAUACUACAUUUUGUUCUUCCAUUAGUCAGUGGGUAGACAUUGGGGUUGUUUACGCUUUUGGCUAUUGAGACUAAUGCUGCUGUAAACAUUCACAUAUAAAUUUUUGUGUGGACAUACGUUUUCAUUUCUCAUGGGUAUAUGCCUGAGAGGAGAAUUGUAAGUUCAUAUGUCAAAAAGUGUUAAACCAUUUGAAGAUUUUUCAGAGUGUUUUCCACAGUGACUGCAUCAUUUUACAUUCUCAUCACUAGUAUCUGAGGGCUGUGAUUACCACAUCUACUCACCAACACUUAUUAUUAUGUGAUUUUUUGAUUUUAGCUAUCCUAGUGGGUUUGAAAUAGUUUUCUUAUUGUGGUUUCAAUUUGCAUUUCCCUAAUGACUAAUGAUUUUGAACAUCUUUUCAUGUGCUUAUUGCUCUUUUGUAUGUCUUGUUUGAAGAAAUGCUUGUUCAUAUUCUUUGUCCAUUUUCAGUUGUGAUAUUUGUUUUUUAUGUUAUUAACUUAUAUUAGUUCUAUAUAAAUUCUAUGUACAAGUAUUAUAUCAGGUAUAUUAUUAGCAAUUACUUUCUCCCGUUCUGUGGGCCUUCUUUUCACUUCCUUUUUUCCUUAUUUAAAAGUAUUUCAUUCUCAAAUAAUGAUUGAAUCUAUUUAAGGUGUAUAACAUGAUGGUUUGAUAUAUGUAUAUAUUGUACGAUGCUUACCACAAUUAAAUUAUAUCACCACCCAUGCUGUACAGAGCCUCCCAGAACUUGCUGGUCUUAUAACUGAAAGUUUGUACCCUUUGACUAAUAUCUUCCCAUUUCUUCUACUCCCUGAACCCUGACAAUCACUAGUCUACUCUGCUUCCAAGAGGCCAACUUUUUAAGAUUCUACAUAUAAGUGAGAUCAUGUCGCGUUUGUCUUUUUUUGUCUGGGUUAUUUCACUUAGCUUAAUGUCCUUUAGGGUCAUACAUAUUGUUGCAAAUGGCAGCAUUUCCUUUUUUGUAGAUGAAUAAUAUUUCUUUGCAUAUAUGUACCACAAUUUCUUUAUCUAUUCAUCAAAUUAUGGACACAUAGAUUGUUUCCAUAUAUUGGUUAUUGUGAAUAAUGCUAUAAUGAACAUGGGGGUUACAACUAUCUCUUCAAGAUACUGAUUUCAUUUCCUUUAGAUAUAUACCCCAAAGUAGAAUUGAUAGAUCAUAUGGUAGUUCUAUUUUUAGUUUUAUGAGGAGUUCUGGACUGUUUUCCAUAAUGACUGCACCAAUUAACAUUCCCACCAAUAGUGUACAAAGGACAUCCUUUGUCCACAUGCUCACCAAAACAUUACCUCUUCUCUUUUUGAUAAUGAGAGGUGACAGCGUGCUGG